rnacentral:rRNA from 1 species
CACGUAGGGCGCGAGCGUUGUCCGGAAUUAUUGGGCGUAAAGAGCUCGUAGGCGGCCUGUUGCGUCCGCUGUGAAAGCCCCGGGGCUUAACCCCGGGUCGCAGUGGAUACGGGCAGGCUAGAGGUAGGUAGGGGAGAAUGGAAUUCCCGGUGUAGCGGUGAAAUGCGCAGAUAUCGGGAGGAACACCGGUGGCGAAGGCGGGUCUCUGGGCCGUAACUGACGCUGAGGAGCGAAAGCGUGGGGAGCGAACAGG